AGGUUGAGGCCAGAUCUGGGCGUUGUCCCCGGCGCCCUGUGCUCACGGGUCUGCGCUGUUGGAUUCGCGCUCCCGGCCGGGAAGCCCCCU
rnacentral:pre_miRNA from 1 species